AGCUCUCUUUCUAAAUCUCUUUAAUUUUUAGUAGUAAUUUUUCAAAGAAUUAGACUACUAUAUAUACUAUCAAUAGUAGGAAGUCAUUGGUGCUAUUAGAUUUUUAGAUUCUUGGACGAAAUGAUGUGCGGUUAGGAUGAUUGUGAUUUUCUAAAAUUGAGUGGGUGGUUGGCUGAAUAGUAUAUUUUAAUGAGUGAAAAUGAUCAAUAGAAUAUAUCUAAUGGCGAAAAAUUUGAUAGCACUAAAAGUUUGAUACUAUUAAUAGUAUAGUAACCGAAUUCUUUGUUAAACCAGUUUAGUUUUUAUAUAAGAGCAGGAGUUAAAGUGCAAAAUUUUUGAGGUUUUUUUUU
rnacentral:lncRNA from 1 species